rnacentral:tRNA from 1 species
CUCCGCUUGGUGUAGUUGGUUCAUCACGUUCGACUGUAAUAUCUUCUGCUAUCGAAAGGUCCCUAGUUCGAUUCUGGGAGCGGAGA